rnacentral:rRNA from 1 species
UACGUAGGGGGCAAGCGUUGUCCGGAAUCAUUGGGCGUAAAGCGCGUGUAGGCGGUUCGGUAAGUCUGCUGUGAAAGUCCAGGGCUCAACCCUGGGAUGCCGGUGGAUACUGUCGGACUAGAGUACGGAAGAGGCGAGUGGAAUUCCCGGUGUAGCGGUGAAAUGCGCAGAUAUCGGGAGGAACACCAAUUGCGAAGGCAGCUCGCUGGGACGUCACUGACGCUGAGACGCGAAAGCGUGGGAGCGAACAGG